CCUACGGGAGGCAGCAGUGAGGAAUAUUGGUCAAUGGCCGAGAGGCUGAACCAGCCAAGUCGCGUGAGGGAAGACGGCCCUACGGGUUGUAAACCUCUUUUGUCGGGGAGCAAAGCGAGUCACGUGUGACUCAUUAAGAGUACCCUAAGAAAAAGCAUCGGCUAACUCCGUGCCAGCAGCCGCGGUAAUACGGAGGAUGCGAGCGUUUUCCGGGUUUGUUGGGGUAAAGGGGUGCGCAGGCGGCCUGUUAAGUCCGCGGUAAAGGCCCGGGGCUCAACCCCGGCGAGCCGUUGAAACUGGCGGGCUGGAGUUGGAGAGAAGUACGCGGAAUGCGCGGUGUAGCGGUGAAAUGCUUAGAUAUCGCGCAGAACCCCGAUUGCGAAGGCAGCGUACCGGCUCCAAACUGACGCUGAGGCACGAAAGCGUGGGUAUCGAACAGGAUUAGAUACCCUUGUAGUC
rnacentral:rRNA from 1 species